AAGGAAUAUUGGGCAAUGGGCGAGAGCCUGACCCAGCCAUGCCGCGUGCAGGAAGACGGCCUUAUGGGUUGUAAACUGCUUUUAUAAGGGAAUAACCUUCCGUACGAGUACGGAACUGCAUGUACCUUAUGAAUAAGCAUCGGCUAACUCCGUGCCAGCAGCCGCGGUAAUACGGAGGAUGCAAGCGUUAUCCGGAAUCAUUGGGUUUAAAGGGUGCGUAGGCGGGAUUGUAAGUCAGUGGUGAAAUUUCCGGGCUUAACCUGGGCGCUGCCAUUGAUACUGCAGUUCUUGAGUAUAGUUGAUGUUGGCGGAAUGUGUCAUGUAGCGGUGAAAUGCAUAGAUAUGACACAGAACACCGAUAGCGAAGGCAGCUGACAAAACUAUAACUGACGCUGAUGCACGAAAGCGUGGGGAGCAAAC
rnacentral:rRNA from 1 species